rnacentral:lncRNA from 1 species
AUGGACGGCAACUGUGUAGAAACAGUUCUGGGGGCCGACCGUGCUGGCGGCAACGGCGGCGAGGCAAACGAAGGCAGUCUGGAGGCCGGCCACGCGGAAGGCAGUGGCGGCGACGCCCAACCAUCGGCCCGGAAGGGGGCCGUCCACGACGGCAAGGACGUCCAGUCAUUGGCCUGGAAAGCGGCCGGACAGGACGAGCAGGACGGACAGGACGAGCAGGACGGACAGGACGAGCAGGACGGACAGGACGAGCAGGACGGACAGGACGAGCAGGACGGACAGGACGGACAGGGGAAGCUGAAGCCGAAGCUGGUGCUGGUGCUGCUGCAGGCGACGCUGGAGCUGAUGCUGAAUCUGGGCCAGGCGAAGCUGGAGGCUCGGAGGCUGGACCAGACGAGAAUGGCGCUGCAGGCGACGGCGUGGAAGCCGGAGAUGGUGGCGCUGCAGGCGACGGCGUGGAAGCCGGAGAUGGUGGCGCUGCAGGCGACGGCGUGGAAGCCGGAGAUGGUGGCGCUGCAGGCGAGGACGAGGCUGCAGCUGGACCAGGCGGGGCUGAAGCUGAAGCUGAAGCAGAGGCUGGACCAGACGAGGCAGAGGCCUCUGAAGCAGAGGCUGGACCAGGCGAUGGCGUGGGUGAUGCAGCCGAUGAGGAGGCUGCAGCUGGCGAGGAUGAAGACUCUGAGACGGCAGGUGGUGGCGGCGUGGAAGCCGGAGACGGAGGCGCUGCAGCAGGUGACGCCGAUGUGGCUGCUGCUGCCGGCGGCACUGAAGCAGAUGAGGAGGCUGCUGCAGGUGGUGUGGAUGAGGCUGCUGCCGCAGGCAGCGCUGAAGCAGAUGAGGAGGAGGCUGCAGCUGGCGCUGCAGGCGACGCUGAUGAAGCUGGCGCGGCAGCUGGCGAGGGUGAUGAAGCUGGCGCGGCAGCUGGCGAGGGUGAUGAAGCUGGCGCGGCAGCUGGCGAGGGUGAUGAAGCUGGCGCGGCAGCUGGCGAGGGUGAUGAAGCUGGCGCGGCAGCUGGCGAGGGUGAUGAAGCUGGCGCGGCAGCUGGCGAGGGUGAUGAGGCGGCAGCUGGCGAGGGUGAUGAGGCGGCAGCUGGCGAGGGUGAUGAGGCGGCAGCUGGCGGCUGGACGGACUCCUCGGGCCCUCCAGCUGACGAGGCAGGAGGCUGGCUAG